GAAUAUACCCAGUUCUACGGAAUAGCCUCGGGAAACUGAGAGUAAUACCGUAUACGCCCUUCGGGGGAAAGAUUUAUCGGAAUUGGAUUAGCCCGCGUUGGAUUAGGUAGUUGGUGGGGUAAAAGCCUACCAAGCCGACGAUCCAUAGCUGGUUUGAGAGGAUGAUCAGCCACACUGGGACUGAGACACGGCCCAGACUCCUACGGGAGGCAGCAGUGGGGAAUAUUGGACAAUGGGGGCAACCCUGAUCCAGCAAUGCCGCGUGUGUGAAGAAGGCCUGCGGGUUGUAAAGCACUUUCAGCAGGGAAGAAAAGCUUGGCGUUAAUACCGCCAAGUCUUGACGUUACCUGAAGAAGAAGCACCGGCUAACUCUGUGCCAGCAGCCGCGGUAAUACAGAGGGUGCAAGCGUUAAUCGGAAUUACUGGGCGUAAAGCGCGCGUAGGCGGUUUGGUCAGUUGGAUGUGAAAGCCCAGGGCUUAACCUUGGAAUUGCAUUCAAUACUGCCAGGCUAGAGUACGAUAGAGGGGGGUAGAAUUCCACGUGUAGCGGUGAAAUGCGUAGAGAUGUGGAGGAAUACCAGUGGCGAAGGCGGCCCGCUGGACCNAUACUGACGCUGAGGUGCGAAAGCGUGGGGAGCAAACAGAUUAGAUACCCUGGUAGUCCA
rnacentral:rRNA from 1 species